rnacentral:rRNA from 1 species
UACGUAGGGUGCGAGCGUUAAUCGGAAUUACUGGGCGUAAAGCGUGCGCAGGCGGUUCGUUGUGUCGGCGGUGAAAGCCCCGGGCUUAACCUGGGAACGGCCGUUGAAACUGGCGAACUGGAGUGUGGCAGAGGGGGUGGAAUUCCGGCGGUGUAGCAGUGAAAUGCGUAGAGAUGCGGAGGAACACCGAUGGCGAAGGCAGCCCCCUGGGCUAACACUGACGCUCAGGCACGAAAGCGU